rnacentral:rRNA from 1 species
UACGUAGGGUGCGAGCGUUAAUCGGAAUUACUGGGCGUAAAGUGUGCGCAGGCGGCCGCGCAAGUCGAGUGUGAAAUUCCCGAGCUUAACUUGGGAAUUGCGCUCGAAACUACGUGGCUGGAGUGUGGCAGAGGGAGGUGGAAUUCCACGUGUAGCGGUGAAAUGCGUAGAGAUGUGGAGGAACACCGAUGGCGAAGGCAGCCUCCUGGGCCAACACUGACGCUCAUGCACGAAAGCGUGGGGAGCAAACAGG